GGUGCAUCUCUAUCAGUUAUCACUAGAAGC
rnacentral:piRNA from 1 species